GGUCUAUUUAUUUAUUAACCAGAGUAUGAUUAUUAUCAUUAAAGUUACUGCAUAUAUCAGUGGUGGGUCGUUUGAUGUUAUAAAUAUUACUCUCAAAGGCAAUAUUUACACAAGAUAUUUCCAAUUUAAUUACCAUCACAAACAAACUCAGAAACAGUACUAGAAAAAGAGGGAAUAGAUAAAUAUAUAGCAGGCUUUAUGAUGCAUUA